GACGAACGCUGGCGGCGUGCUUAACACAUGCAAGUCGAACGGAAAGGCCCUGCUUUUGUGGGGUGCUCGAGUGGCGAACGGGUGAGUAACACGUGAGUAACCUGCCCUUGACUUUGGGAUAACUUCAGGAAACUGGGGCUAAUACCGGAUAGGAGCUCCUGCUGCAUGGUGGGGGUUGGAAAGUUUCGGCGGUUGGGGAUGGACUCGCGGCUUAUCAGCUUGUUGGUGGGGUAGUGGCUUACCAAGGCUUUGACGGGUAGCCGGCCUGAGAGGGUGACCGGCCACAUUGGGAAUGAGAUACGGCCGAGACUCCUACGGGAGGCAGCAGUGGGGAAGAUUGCACAAUGGGCGGAAGCCUGAUGCAGCAACGCCGCGGGCGGGAUGACGGACUUAGGGUUGUAAAACGCUUUCGCCUGUGACGAAGCGUGAGUGACGGUGAUGGGUAAAGAAGCACCGGCGAACUACGUG
rnacentral:rRNA from 1 species